AUCCAGCUGACGAGUCCCAAAUAGAACGUAACACCCUACCUGGAU
rfam:Schistosoma curassoni strain Dakar, Senegal genome assembly, scaffold: SCTD_scaffold0017003